AGGUAGCAAUACUUUGGUGGCGACCGGCGUACGGGUGCGUAACACGUAUGCAACCUUCCUGUAAGUGUGGGAUAGCCUCCUGAAAGGGAGAUUAAUACCUCAUGAUAUGUAUUUGCUGCAUGGCAUUUACAUUAAACAUUUAUGGCUUACAGAUGGGCAUGCGUUCCAUUAGGCAGUUGGUGUGGUAACGGCUCACCAAACCUACGAUGGAUAGGGGUUCUGAGAGGAAGGUCCCCCACACUGGAACUGAGACACGGUCCAGACUCC
rnacentral:rRNA from 1 species